rnacentral:rRNA from 1 species
CAGUAGCCGCGGUAAUACGUAGGGUGCAAGCGUUAAUCGGAAUUACUGGGCGUAAAGCGUGCGCAGGCGGUUGUGUAAGUCUGAUGUGAAAGCCCCGGGCUCAACCUGGGAACUGCAUUGGAGACUGCACGGCUAGAGUGCGUCAGAGGGGGGUAGAAUUCCGCGUGUAGCAGUGAAAUGCGUAGAGAUGCGGAGGAAUACCGAUGGCGAAGGCAGCCCCCUGGGAUGACACUGACGCUCAUGCACGAAAGCGUGGGGAGCAAACAGGAUUAGAUACCCCUGUAGUCCCUGUCUCUUAUAC